AGAAAGGAAAUUCUUAUGCGCGAAGAAUUCUAAUAAAAUUCUAACGCGAACUUUUCCCUCGACGCGCGUUCGCGCACGUCUCUCGUUCGACUGCGUACGCGCUCGACGUCUCGUAAAUAAAAGAAUAUUGUCGAGGCGAAUAACAAUUUGCCCGGUCGAACGU